AAGACAGAAGACUCAAAUUUGGAGGAGGGAGUCGAGCAGGGCCACAAAGAUUAGUUCCCGCACACUACAUGUUCGAUGAAAUGCCCAUGGCACCCCCAGCGAUGUCCUCUUCACCUCUCUUCCCGCACACUAUUCGAUGAAAUGUCCUCAGUCUAGCUGAAUAGGAGAAGGUAUAUAGCUGAAUCCUGAAUCUAGUUGACGUGCUUUCAUACACCUAUAUAUUAUUUUUCCUUCAUUAGAAUAGCUCAUCUUUGUAAAGGUUGUGUUCUUAUCUGAUAGAGAAACUACGCUCUAAUGUCUAAUAUCUGUAUUCCAUAUGCCUUCCCUACAGGUAUGAAGGACAACAUGACAUGCUGCACUUUUGCAUCAGAGUGAAUUAAAGAUGCUCAACACACUGUAUGUUGCCUUGGUUUCCUAUCCAGUUCAUGUUAGAUUUGGAUUCUAGCUCCCAGACUUAUCUUGAAUUGUCUUUCAUUUAACAGAUGACUGCGGAAAACUGCCAAUAAAGAGCUGAAAUGGAUGGAG
rnacentral:lncRNA from 1 species